AUUGAACGCUGGCGGCAUGCUUUACACAUGCAAGUCGAACGGUAACAGGCCGCAAGGUGCUGACGAGUGGCGAACGGGUGAGUAAUGCAUCGGAACGUGCCCAGUCGUGGGGGAUAACGCAGCGAAAGCUGCGCUAAUACCGCAUACGAUCUGUGGAUGAAAGCGGGGGACCGAAAGGCCUCGCGCCAUUGGAGCGGCCGAUGUCAGAUUAGGUAGUUGGUGGGGUAAAGGCCCACCAAGCCAACGAUCUGUAGCUGGUCUGAGAGGACGACCAGCCACACUGGGACUGAGACACGGCCCAGACUCCUACGGGAGGCAGCAGUGGGGAAUUUUGGACAAUGGGCGCAAGCCUGAUCCAGCAAUGCCGCGUGCAGGAAGAAGGCCUUCGGGUUGUAAACUGCUUUUGUACGGAACGAAACGGCUCUGGUUAAUACCUGGGGCUAAUGACGGUACCGUAAGAAUAAGCACCGGCUAACUACGUGCCAGCCGCCGCAGUAAAAC
rnacentral:rRNA from 1 species